AACUUCCCCCAGUGGGUGCACAGUUCUAGGGUCCAGACGAGUGAGGACUGAGGUCUCCCUUGGGUCUCCCACAGUGCAGUGCACAUGGGCCUCCACUUUUGAUACCUACAGGCAGAUGGCAGACCGCCUGUGGAGCCACAGAACUUCAGGCUCAGGGGGCCUGAGCGGCCGCACGAUGCUCCUGCCACCCCUUGGCACCUCAAGUCUCCUCUAUAUCCCGCCUCAGUGUCCAGCCUCUUGUUGAUCCCUAGAAGGACCGCACCGGUCCUCCAGAGACCACCCACCCACACCAAGACCCCUCAGAUCAUUAGAAUGUUCUACCUAUGUUGAGCCAAAGUGUGUCCCUUACAGCUUCCAUCUCCACUCUAAUUUUCACCUGUAGGUCUGUGAAUAACUAAGCAAGGCUUCUUCCAUCUAAUGGUGUUUGAGCAUAAACAUGUGUCUCGUCCUUUUCCAUUUCUCCAGGUGAAGUAGCUCUGGUUCCGUCCCUGAGCCCCCAGGGUUGGUCCCUUCACCCAGAUGUGUCUUCUAGACUCAGGUUUGGUCUGAUCAUCCGUCACUGCCCUUCCUCUGAUCAGCCACUCCGAGCUCCCGUUUGUUGUCUGGUUGUGCACACCACCCUGUGGAGAUGCGUGAGUCAUGAGAGCCCUGUUGUGCACAGCUGUUAACCCACCCUCCAGCAAGUGCCCCAGCCCAGCUGAGUUGUCAGACCCUCCGUGGGCCUGUUAGUUUGUCAGUGCUGCAUUUCACCGCAUCAGCUUUAGCUCACAGCCGCAGCCUGUCUGGAUUUGGGAAUUCUGAUUCUUUCUUCCAGUAUGGUGUCAGCCUCUGGAAGCUUUUUAGCUACAUAUUGGCUUAGCCUGCCAUCAAGAGCUUUUAUUCAAAUCAUGGGGAAAAAAUGUUGGCUUGGAUCAAAAUAAGCCCAGAAUCCUUGAGCACCUCACUCACCUCUUCCAGGUUCUCGUGAUUCUGUUAAUCACCGCUCAGAGGGGCCGUUCACACAGUUUUGAGUACAUCUAACUGUAGUAUCAGCUGGCGGACGGUUCUCUCCACAGGGCUGCGUAAGAUCUUGCCACACUUCUUGCUGAAUUCUAGAUUCAUAGAGCUUUGUUGUCUAAUACAUUAGCCACCAGCUACAUGGGGCUAUUUCAAGUUAAAUUGAUUAAAUUCCAUUUAAAACCCAGUUCCUCAGUCACACUAGCCACCUUUCAAGUACUCAGUACCCACAUCCGGCUAGUGGCUACCAUACUGGACAGUGCAGAUAAAGUGCAGAUAUCCCCAGCAUCUCAAAGUUCUACUGGAUCACAUACACACCCUUCAGUAAUCUAUUCUAAGAUCUGGAUUUAGUUUAUACAUAACACUCCAACUUCUAUUUUAUGGAAUCUGCAUUCUUCCCUGGUGUUUGGAAACCAGAACAAUCCUGGUCAGUCUCCAGUCUCCCCAGACUCCCUGGACAGUCUUGCCUGCAGGGUGGCUCCCAGGUCACCACUGUGUGAUGCGCUUGGGGUGUGUGCGCAGGAUGGAGAGGCUAACCCAAGGCCAGAGCAGAGCCAGAGCAAGAACUGGCUGGAAGAUCUGCCUCUUCCCCCUGGGUGGCUUCGCUGCAUGGUUCCCUGAGCACCAGCUGGAGGCCGGCCCACUGCUGCAGUCCGGAGAGCACUGACUUUGCAGUCAACAAACCUCAUUCCAACUCAGGCUUCCUUCACCCGGGCCUCAGAUGCCACCCUGAAAACUGCAAGUGAUGCCUCCCUCCCAGGGUUGUUAAGGGGACUGCCUGGCGUGUACAAAGGGCCCAGCUGCCACUGACACUCAGUGCAUACCAGCUCGUCACCAGCAUCCAGAACCUUCCACGUCAGAGCUUCCCCUGGGUGACUGAGAGCCAGGAUCUCUCAUGUGCACAGCUGCAAAUCCUGGCUCCUAGUUUGGUGCACAUUCAGGACACUUUGAAAUGGGUGAUCAACAAAUGCUAAAUGAAGAGAACCAAUUUGAUCAGCCAGAGAUUAGCAGAUACAUUUUUUUUCUGAAUUCUGUUUAUGUGAAAAUAUUAUGACAACAUUAAUAUUUUGUUUCCCCAUAAUGCCAGUGGACUGGCACUCUUUAUCUGUCACAUAGAAAGGUACACCAGCGUCAGCAGUCCUGCAUCUGGAGAGCUUUGAGGGAACCUACUUGUGAGAGUGAAGAUACCGUGAAAUGAAGCUUAAGCAAGCCUUGAAACCCACAUGUACUGGAAGGAAAAAAGAAAGUUAAAGAAAAGCAUAACCAAAAUAUUAUGGAAAAGCCUCUCAGAGGGCCCAGAGGGCAGCAGGAGACCCUGAGGACACAGCUUAAAUAAUGGCUGCAGGUGCCACAGCCCUUCUCACGCGUCCAUGUGUGUUUGCGUCUCUCGAGUUCGCUCAGUCUUUGAUGGUCUGAAGCUGACACUGGUAAGCUUUUGGCCUGAGCAUUAUCACUGCCCCUUCGGGAGAAGCAGAGACCCUCUGGAGACCAGGGGGGUGUCCAAGACCCCGAGGUUGGAGGCCAGGCCAGGGCACAGAGCACAGGCCACCGUGGAACCUUGAGGCCCAAGUGCCCCAGCCUGAAUGCCUCCUGGAAACCAAAUGCUCUGCUCACUUUCAUAUCUUUGAAGUUGACACACUCACCAUCUCAUUUUGACUUCCUUGAAAAAUAAUGUUCACCUACUCUUUGAUGAUUACAUUUGCUCAGAAUUCCUCUUGUAGGCUUCCAAAUGCUUUGGUUUUGCUCUAAUUUUUUCUCUUUAUUUCAACAGCUUUACUCAAAGCAUCUUGUGGACCAGAGUUGUCAACUGUUUUGGUGCCUUUAUAAUCUAACUUCAAAUAAAAGUAAAACAUUU
ensembl:lncRNA